GGCGGCGUGCUUAACACAUGCAAGUCGAACGGAAAGGCCCUGCUUUUGUGGGGUGCUCGAGUGGCGAACGGGUGAGUAACACGUGAGUAACCUGCCCUUGACUUUGGGAUAACUUCAGGAAACUGGGGCUAAUACCGGAUAGGAGCUCCUGCUGCAUGGUGGGGGUUGGAAAGUUUCGGCGGUUGGGGAUGGACUCGCGGCUUAUCAGCUUGUUGGUGGGGUAGUGGCUUACCAAGGCUUUGACGGGUAGCCGGCCUGAGAGGGUGACCGGCCACAUUGGGACUGAGAUACGGCCCAGACUCCUACGGGAGGCAGCAGUGGGGAAUAUUGCACAAUGGGCGGAAGCCUGAUGCAGCAACGCCGCGUGCGGGAUGACGGCCUUCGGGUUGUAAACCGCUUUCGCCUGUGACGAAGCGUGAGUGACGGUAAUGGGUAAAGAAGCACCGGCUAACUACGUGCCAGCAGCCGCGGUGAUACGUAGGGUGCGAGCGUUGUCCGGAUUUAUUGGGCGUAAAGGGCUCGUAGGUGGUUGAUCGCGUCGGAAGUGUAAUCUUGGGGCUUAACCCUGAGCGUGCUUUCGAUACGGGUUGACUUGAGGAAGGUAGGGGAGAAUGGAAUUCCUGGUGGAGCGGUGGAAUGCGCAGAUAUCAGGAGGAACACCAGUGGCGAAGGCGGUUCUCUGGGCCUUUCCUGACGCUGAGGAGCGAAAGCGUGGGGAGCGAACAGGCUUAGAUACCCUGGUAGUCCACGCUGUAAACGGUGGGUACUAGGUGUGGGGUCCAUUCCACGGGUUCCGUGCCGUAGCUAACGCUUUAAGUACCCCGCCUGGGGAGUACGGCCGCAAGGCUAAAACUCAAAGGAAUUGACGGGGCCCCGCACAAGCGGCGGAGCAUGCGGAUUAAUUCGAUGCAACGCGUAGAGCCUUACCUGGGUUUGACAUGGAUCGGGAGUGCUCAGAGAUGGGUGUGCCUCUUUUGGGGUCGGUUCACAGGUGGUGCAUGGCUGUCGUCAGCUCGUGUCGUGAGAUGUUGGGUUAAGUCCCGCAACGAGCGCAACCCUUGUUCACUGUUGCCAGCACGUUAUGGUGGGGACUCAGUGGAGACCGCCGGGGUCAACUCGGAGGAAGGUGGGGAUGACGUCAAGUCAUCAUGCCCCUUAUGUCCAGGGCUUCACGCAUGCUACAAUGGCUGGUACAGAGAGUGGCGAGCCUGUGAGGGUGAGCGAAUCUCGGAAAGCCGGUCUCAGUUCGGAUUGGGGUCUGCAACUCGACCUCAUGAAGUCGGAGUCGCUAGUAAUCGCAGAUCAGCAACGCUGCGGUGAAUACGUUCCCGGGGCUUGUACACACCGCCCGUCAAGUCAUGAAAGUUGGUAACACCCGAGGCCGGUGGCCUAACCGUUGUGGGGGAGCCGUCGAAGGUGGGACUGGUGAUUAGGACUAAGUCAUA
rnacentral:rRNA from 1 species